rnacentral:rRNA from 1 species
ACUAAGCGUACACGGUGGAUGCCCUGGCAGUCAGAGGCGAUGAAGGACGUGCUAAUCUGCGAUAAGCGUCGGUAAGGUGAUAUGAACCGUUAUAACCGGCGAUUUCCGAAUGGGGAAACCCAGUGUGUUUCGACACACUAUCAUUAACUGAAUCCAUAGGUUAAUGAGGCGAACCGGGGGAACUGAAACAUCUAAGUACCCCGAGGAAAAGAAAUCAACCGAGAUUCCCCCAGUAGCGGCGAGCGAACGGGGAGCAGCCCAGAGCCUGAAUCAGUGUGUGUGUUAGUGGAAGCGUCUGGAAAGGCGCGCGAUACAGGGUGACAGCCCCGUACACAAAAAUGCACAUACUGUGAGCUCGAUGAGUAGGGCGGGACACGUGGUAUCCUGUCUGAAUAUGGGGGGACCAUCCUCCAAGGCUAAAUACUCCUGACUGACCGAUAGUGAACCAGUACCGUGAGGGAAAGGCGAAAAGAACCCCGGCGAGGGGAGUGAAAAAGAACCUGAAACCGUGUACGUACAAGCAGUGGGAGCCUCUUUAUGGGGUGACUGCGUACCUUUUGUAUAAUGGGUCAGCGACUUAUAUUCUGUAGCAAGGUUAACCGAAUAGGGGAGCCGAAGGGAAACCGAGUCUUAACUGGGCGUUAAGUUGCAGGGUAUAGACCCGAAACCCGGUGAUCUAGCCAUGGGCAGGUUGAAGGUUGGGUAACACUAACUGGAGGACCGAACCGACUAAUGUUGAAAAAUUAGCGGAUGACUUGUGGCUGGGGGUGAAAGGCCAAUCAAACCGGGAGAUAGCUGGUUCUCCCCGAAAGCUAUUUAGGUAGCGCCUCGUGAAUUCAUCUCCGGGGGUAGAGCACUGUUUCGGCAAGGGGGUCAUCCCGACUUACCAACCCGAUGCAAACUGCGAAUACCGGAGAAUGUUAUCACGGGAGACACACGGCGGGUGCUAACGUCCGUCGUGAAGAGGGAAACAACCCAGACCGCCAGCUAAGGUCCCAAAGUCAUGGUUAAGUGGGAAACGAUGUGGGAAGGCCCAGACAGCCAGGAUGUUGGCUUAGAAGCAGCCAUCAUUUAAAGAAAGCGUAAUAGCUCACUGGUCGAGUCGGCCUGCGCGGAAGAUGUAACGGGGCUAAACCAUGCACCGAAGCUGCGGCAGCGACACUAUGUGUUGUUGGGUAGGGGAGCGUUCUGUAAGCCUGUGAAGGUGUACUGUGAGGUAUGCUGGAGGUAUCAGAAGUGCGAAUGCUGACAUAAGUAACGAUAAAGCGGGUGAAAAGCCCGCUCGCCGGAAGACCAAGGGUUCCUGUCCAACGUUAAUCGGGGCAGGGUGAGUCGACCCCUAAGGCGAGGCCGAAAGGCGUAGUCGAUGGGAAACAGGUUAAUAUUCCUGUACUUGGUGUUACUGCGAAGGGGGGACGGAGAAGGCUAUGUUGGCCGGGCGACGGUUGUCCCGGUUUAAGCGUGUAGGCUGGUUUUCCAGGCAAAUCCGGAAAAUCAAGGCUGAGGCGUGAUGACGAGGCACUACGGUGCUGAAGCAACAAAUGCCCUGCUUCCAGGAAAAGCCUCUAAGCAUCAGGUAACAUCAAAUCGUACCCCAAACCGACACAGGUGGUCAGGUAGAGAAUACCAAGGCGCUUGAGAGAACUCGGGUGAAGGAACUAGGCAAAAUGGUGCCGUAACUUCGGGAGAAGGCACGCUGAUAUGUAGGUGAAGUCCCUCGCGGAUGGAGCUGAAAUCAGUCGAAGAUACCAGCUGGCUGCAACUGUUUAUUAAAAACACAGCACUGUGCAAACACGAAAGUGGACGUAUACGGUGUGACGCCUGCCCGGUGCCGGAAGGUUAAUUGAUGGGGUCAGCGCAAGCGAAGCUCUUGAUCGAAGCCCCGGUAAACGGCGGCCGUAACUAUAACGGUCCUAAGGUAGCGAAAUUCCUUGUCGGGUAAGUUCCGACCUGCACGAAUGGCGUAAUGAUGGCCAGGCUGUCUCCACCCGAGACUCAGUGAAAUUGAACUCGCUGUGAAGAUGCAGUGUACCCGCGGCAAGACGGAAAGACCCCGUGAACCUUUACUAUAGCUUGACACUGAACAUUGAGCCUUGAUGUGUAGGAUAGGUGGGAGGCUUAGAAGUGUGGACGCCAGUCUGCAUGGAGCCGACCUUGAAAUACCACCCUUUAAUGUUUGAUGUUCUAACGUGGACCCGUGAUCCGGGUUGCGGACAGUGUCUGGUGGGUAGUUUGACUGGGGCGGUCUCCUCCUAAAGAGUAACGGAGGAGCACGAAGGUUGGCUAAUCCUGGUCGGACAUCAGGAGGUUAGUGCAAUGGCAUAAGCCAGCUUGACUGCGAGCGUGACGGCGCGAGCAGGUGCGAAAGCAGGUCAUAGUGAUCCGGUGGUUCUGAAUGGAAGGGCCAUCGCUCAACGGAUAAAAGGUACUCCGGGGAUAACAGGCUGAUACCGCCCAAGAGUUCAUAUCGACGGCGGUGUUUGGCACCUCGAUGUCGGCUCAUCACAUCCUGGGGCUGAAGUAGGUCCCAAGGGUAUGGCUGUUCGCCAUUUAAAGUGGUACGCGAGCUGGGUUUAGAACGUCGUGAGACAGUUCGGUCCCUAUCUGCCGUGGGCGCUGGAGAACUGAGGGGGGCUGCUCCUAGUACGAGAGGACCGGAGUGGACGCAUCACUGGUGUUCGGGUUGUCAUGCCAAUGGCACUGCCCGGUAGCUAAAUGCGGAAGAGAUAAGUGCUGAAAGCAUCUAAGCACGAAACUUGCCCCGAGAUGAGUUCUCCCUGACCCUUUAAGGGUCCUGAAGGAACGUUGAAGACGACGACGUUGAUAGGCCGGGUGUGUAAGCGCAGCGAUGCGUUGAGCUAACCGGUACUAAUGAACCGUGAGGCUUAACC